rnacentral:rRNA from 1 species
GAGUUUGAUCCUGGCUCAGGAUGAACGCUGGCGGCGUGCUUAACACAUGCAAGUCGAACGGGAAACUUUUCAUUGAAGCUUCGGCAGAUUUGGUCUGUUUCUAGUGGCGGACGGGUGAGUAACGCGUGGGUAACCUGCCUUAUACAGGGGGAUAACAACCAGAAAUGGUUGCUAAUACCGCAUAAGCGCACAGGACCGCAUGGUCCGGUGUGAAAAACUCCGGUGGUAUAGGAUGGACCCGCGUUGGAUUAGCCAGUUGGCAGGGUAACGGCCUACCAAAGCGACGAUCCAUAGCCGGCCUGAGGGGGUGAACGGCCACAUUGGGACUGAGACACGGCCCAGACUCCUACGGGAGGCAGCAGUGGGGAAUAUUGCACAAUGGGGGAAACCCUGAUGCAGCAACGCCGCGUGAAGGAAGAAGUAUCUCGGUAUGUAAACUUCUAUCAGCAGGGAAGAUAAUGACGGUACCUGACUAAGAAGCCCCGGCUAACUACGUGCCAGCCGCCGCGGUAAUAC